rnacentral:rRNA from 1 species
AUUAUGGCUCAGGACGAACGCUGGCGGUGUGCCUCACACAUGCAAGUCGAACGGGGUAACAAUACCCAGUGGCGGACGGGUGAGUAACACGUGGGAAUCUGCCUUUAGAUGGGGGAUAGCAGGCCGAAAGGCCUAUUAAUACCGCAUAUGCCGAAAGGUGAAAGGAGCAAUCCGUCUGAAGAUGAGCCCGCGCCCGAUUAGCUAGUUGGUAAGGUAACGGCUUACCAAGGCAACGAUCGGUAGCUGGUCUGAGAGGAUGAUCAGCCACAAUGGAACUGAGACACGGUCCAUACUCCUACGGGAGGCAGCAGUGGGGAAUUUUACACAAUGGGCGAAAGCCUGAUGUAGCGACACCGCGUGAGCGAAGAAGCCCUUUGGGGUGUAAAGCUCGGUCAACAGGGACGAAAAAAAUGACGGUACCUGUGGAGGAAGCAUCGGCUAACUACGUGCCAGCAGCCGCGGUAAGACGUAGGAUGCGAGCGUUGUCCGGAUUUAUUGGGCGUAAAGAGUUCGUAGGUGGUUCGUUAAGUCUGAUGUUAAAGACUGGGGCUCAACCCUGGGAGUGCAUUGGAUACUGGCGGACUGGAGUGCAGUAGAGGCAAGCGGAAUUCCCAGUGUAGCGGUGAAAUGCGUAGAUAUUGGGAAGAACACCGGUGGCGCAAGCGGCUUGCUGGGCUGUAACUGACGCUGAGGAACGAAAGCUAGGGGAGCGAAUGGGAUUAGAUACCCCAGUAGUCCUAGCCGUAAACGAUGGAUACUAGGCGUAUCGGGUAUCGACCCCUGAUGUGCCGCAGCAAACGCGAUAAGUAUCCCGCCUGAGUAGUACGGCCCGCAGGGUGA